rnacentral:lncRNA from 1 species
GGUUAUACUGCACCACCGUAUGGGCAGCCACAGCCUGGCUUUGGGUACAGCAUGUGAGAUGGAAGCUGAUCCUGUAGUCUCCUAUUUUCAUACUGAAGCAUCCUCUACCCACUUCUCAGUUUAUAAACGGGGAAACAGGCAACGUGUUCUUGUAACCUUUACUUCAUGAAGGACUACUUUUUUGUUCUAACUAUAGACUUGGGUCGCCUAUGUUAAAACUUUAUUUUCACAUUCCGCAUCAUUAGACCUUCUUUUCAAAGGGGAAUAGUAUUCAUGUGGGCUUUUUUCUCCCCCUCAUUCUUUGAAGAACUGCUUACUAUUCAAUCUAUUGUGAAGAACCUGAUUUGCACUCUGUAGUGUUUAAAGAAACAAAGAAACUCUAAUAUUGAAUCUCUUAAAUUUAGUGUAUGUAAACAGCUUUCACUAUGUAUUGUCUAAAUGCAUUUAAAUCUCUUUUAUUCAAAGAAAAGCUAAGGUGAAAAUACUGGUAUGUGACCAUGCAAGACUGUCAAUGCCGACAAAGACAACACUAAUCAGCAUAUCCUAUAUUGGAUCACAGUGCUCUCCAAAUUAUUUGAAAAAUGCAUACAGACAACUUGCCUGAUUGUUUUUUUUUUUUUUUAAUGAGUAUAAAAGGCCCUUUCACCUAUGCAGGUUUCCCCAUUAUGCAUAUAGAAAAUGCUAGUGUGUGUUGCUCACUUCAUGUGUAACAGGUGUCCUCAUGUUGUGCUGUAUCCUGUGCUUUUUCUGUGGGACCAUUCCAUUCAGGAACAAGAAGCACCAUGAUUCCACGCGUGUGUAUUUACUAACCCUCCCUUCCCUGAGGUUUGUGUAUGUUGGAUAUUGUGGUGUUUUAGAUCACUGAGUGUACAGAAGAGAGAAUUCAAACAAGAUAUUGCUGUUCUUCAGUUUUGUUUGUGGAAUUUGAAAUUACUCCAAUUUAAAAUAAAUUACUGGACUGUGG